rnacentral:rRNA from 1 species
GUGACUGCGUACCUUUUGUAUAAUGGGUCAGCGACUUAUAUUCUGUAGCAAGGUUAACCGAAUAGGGGAGCCGAAGGGAAACCGAGUCUUAACUGGGCGUUAAGUUGCAGGGUAUAGACCCGAAACCCGGUGAUCUAGCCAUGGGCAGGUUGAAGGUUGGGUAACACUAACUGGAGGACCGAACCGACUAAUGUUGAAAAAUUAGCGGAUGACUUGUGGCUGGGGGUGAAAGGCCAAUCAAACCGGGAGAUAGCUGGUUCUCCCCGAAAGCUAUUUAGGUAGCGCCUCGUGAAUUCAUCUCCGGGGGUAGAGCACUGUUUCGGCAAGGGGGUCAUCCCGACUUACCAACCCGAUGCAAACUGCGAAUACCGGAGAAUGUUAUCACGGGAGACACACGGCGGGUGCUAACGUCCGUCGUGAAGAGGGAAACAACCCAGACCGCCAGCUAAGGUCCCAAAGUCAUGGUUAAGUGGGAAACGAUGUGGGAAGGCCCAGACAGCCAGGAUGUUGGCUUAGAAGCAGCCAUCAUUUAAAGAAAGCGUAAUAGCUCACUGGUCGAGUCGGCCUGCGCGGAAGAUGUAACGGGGCUAAACCAUGCACCGAAGCUGCGGCAGCGACGCUGAUGCGUUGUUGGGUAGGGGAGCGUUCUGUAAGCCUGUGAAGGUGUGCUGUGAGGCAUGCUGGAGGUAUCAGAAGUGCGAAUGCUGACAUAAGUAACGAUAAAGCGGGUGAAAAGCCCGCUCGCCGGAAGACCAAGGGUUCCUGUCCAACGUUAAUCGGGGCAGGGUGAGUCGACCCCUAAGGCGAGGCCGAAAGGCGUAGUCGAUGGGAAACAGGUUAAUAUUCCUGUACUUGGUGUUACUGCGAAGGGGGGACGGAGAAGGCUAUGUUGGCCGGGCGACGGUUGUCCCGGUUUAAGCGUGUAGGCUGGUUUUCCAGGCAAAUCCGGAAAAUCAAGGCUGAGGCGUGAUGACGAGGCACUACGGUGCUGAAGCAACAAAUGCCCUGCUUCCAGGAAAAGCCUCUAAGCAUCAGGUAACAUCAAAUCGUACCCCAAACCGACACAGGUGGUCAGGUAGAGAAUACCAAGGCGCUUGAGAGAACUCGGGUGAAGGAACUAGGCAAAAUGGUGCCGUAACUUCGGGAGAAGGCACGCUGAUAUGUAGGUGAAGUCCCUCGCGGAUGGAGCUGAAAUCAGUCGAAGAUACCAGCUGGCUGCAACUGUUUAUUAAAAACACAGCACUGUGCAAACACGAAAGUGGACGUAUACGGUGUGACGCCUGCCCGGUGCCGGAAGGUUAAUUGAUGGGGUCAGCGCAAGCGAAGCUCUUGAUCGAAGCCCCGGUAAACGGCGGCCGUAACUAUAACGGUCCUAAGGUAGCGAAAUUCCUUGUCGGGUAAGUUCCGACCUGCACGAAUGGCGUAAUGAUGGCCAGGCUGUCUCCACCCGAGACUCAGUGAAAUUGAACUCGCUGUGAAGAUGCAGUGUACCCGCGGCAAGACGGAAAGACCCCGUGAACCUUUACUAUAGCUUGACACUGAACAUUGAGCCUUGAUGUGUAGGAUAGGUGGGAGGCUUAGAAGUGUGGACGCCAGUCUGCAUGGAGCCGACCUUGAAAUACCACCCUUUAAUGUUUGAUGUUCUAACGUUGACCCGUAAUCCGGGUUGCGGACAGUGUCUGGUGGGUAGUUUGACUGGGGCGGUCUCCUCCUAAAGAGUAACGGAGGAGCACGAAGGUUGGCUAAUCCUGGUCGGACAUCAGGAGGUUAGUGCAAUGGCAUAAGCCAGCUUGACUGCGAGCGUGACGGCGCGAGCAGGUGCGAAAGCAGGUCAUAGUGAUCCGGUGGUUCUGAAUGGAAGGGCCAUCGCUCAACGGAUAAAAGGUACUCCGGGGAUAACAGGCUGAUACCGCCCAAGAGUUCAUAUCGACGGCGGUGUUUGGCACCUCGAUGUCGGCUCAUCACAUCCUGGGGCUGAAGUAGGUCCCAAGGGUAUGGCUGUUCGCCAUUUAAAGUGGUACGCGAGCUGGGUUUAGAACGUCGUGAGACAGUUCGGUCCCUAUCUGCCGUGGGCGCUGGAGAACUGAGGGGGGCUGCUCCUAGUACGAGAGGACCGGAGUGGACGCAUCACUGGUGUUCGGGUUGUCAUGCCAAUGGCACUGCCCGGUAGCUAAAUGCGGAAGAGAUAAGUGCUGAAAGCAUCUAAGCACGAAACUUGCCCCGAGAUGAGUUCUCCCUGACUCCUUGAGAGUCCUGAAGGAACGUUGAAGACGACGACGUUGAUAGGCCGGGUGUGUAAGCGCAGCGAUGCGUUGAGCUAACCGGUACUAAUGAACCGUGAGGCUUAACCUU